CCAUUUACCAUAUAUUAUACAGUGGCUUGAAAAAGUAUUCAGCCCCCUUGAACUUUUCCACAUUUUGUGACAUUACAGCCACAAACAUAAAUCUAUUUUAUUGGAAUUCCAAGUUAAAGACCAAUACAAAGUGGUGUACAAUUGAGAAGUGGAACAAAAAAAAAAAUCAUACAUGAUUCCAAACAUUUUUCACAAAUAAUAACUGAAAAGUGGGGUGUGCGUUAAUUAUUCAGCCCCCUGAGUCAAUAUUUUGUGGAACCACCUUUGCUACAAUUACAGCUGCCAGUCAUGUAGGGUAUGUCUCUACCAGCUUUGCACAUCUCAAGACCGAUUUUUUUGUUUUCUUCCAAGAUUGCCCUGUAUUUGGCUCCAUCCAUCUUCCCAUCAACUCUGACCAUCUUCCCUGUUCCUGCUGAAGAGAAGCACCCCCAGAGCAUGAUGCUGCCACCACCAUAUUGACAGUUGGGAUGGUGUGUUGAGAGUGGUGUGCAGUGUUACAUCUCCGCCACACACAGCGUUUUGCAUUUUGGCCAAAAAGUUCAAUUUUGGUCUCAUCAGACCAAAGCACCUUCUUCCACAUUUUUGCUAUGUACCCAACAUGGCUUCUGGCAAACUGCAAAAUGGGACUUCUUAUGGUUUUCUUUUAACUUUGGCUUUCUUCUUGCCACUCUUCCAUAAGGCGAAAUUUGUGCAGUGCACGACUAAUAGUUGUCUCAUGGACAGAGUCCCCUAUCUGAGCUGUGGAUCUCUGCAGCUCGUCCAGAGUCACCAUAGGCCUCUUGGUUGCAUUCUGAUCAGUGCUCUCCUUGUUCGGCCUGUGAGUUUAGGUGGACGGCCUUGUCUUGGUAGGUUUACAGUUGUGCCAUACUCCUUCCAUUUCUGAAUGAUCAAUUGAACAGUGCUCCGUGAGAUGUUCAAGGCUUGGGAAAUCUUUUUAUAGCCUAAGGCUGCUUUAAAUUUCUCCACAACUUUAUCCCUGACUUGGCUGGUGGGUUCUUUGGACUUCAUAGUGUUGUUUGCUCCCAAUAUUCUCUUAAACAACCUCUGAGGCUGUCACAGAGCAGCUGUAUUUGUACUGACAUCAGAUUACACACAGGUGCACUCUAUUUAGUCAUUAGCAAUCAUCAGGCAAUGUCUAUGGGCAACUGACUGCACUCAGACCAAAGAGGGCUGAAUAAUUAUGCACACCCCACUUUUCAGUUAUUUAUUUGUAAA